UAGCACGGUCUUAGAAGAUAAGGUCGGACAACUGAUUCAUUAUCAGCAUUCCGCUUAGUGAGGCAAAUUCAUUUCCAAAUGUUGCCACUUUACAAUUGAGCGCUACCUUACAGACGUUAUUUGAGGUUAUGGCGUUAUACUAGUUUAAUGCCCGGUGCGGAGGUGUGCCCGUAGACAAGUAUACAAGUGCCCCGGUUGCAUGAAAGCUUAUAAAAAAUAAAAAUCAUUCGUCGUUAAAUAGUAAAUACUUAAAUAUUAUGUAACAAUUAAUUAGCUCAUCGUGAUCGCACAUUAGUCAUUAGUGAUUUUAAAUAUUUGUUAAAUCAGUAUUCAUUUUUAAAAUUAAAAUAACCAUGAAAGCAUGAACCCAAUUCCCAAACAUCAAAUCUGUGACGAUGAGUUCAAAUACGUGUGUGGAUGAAGAAUGAAAAUGCAUAUUUCAUAUAAAGAAAUAAGUAUUAUUAUAAUAUAUUAUUAAAAUGGUUUAUAUAAAUCCAAAAUUCAAUGUCAAUACAAAAUUGUUACUUUUUUAUGUGCUGUAUAUUUUGCUAAACCAGAGCAAAAUUUCAGCUAGGUCCUAGGCGUUUUGGUCUAUUAUAAUACACUAUACAAUUUCUAUUGGUACUUACUGAAAAAAUAACAUUUCCUAAAUUGUCAACAAUAUCCUUUGAUCUAAUUAUUAAGUCAUCCCGAAAAUGUUUUUCACAAAUAACCUCGUUAGGGCUAAAAUGAUCUAUCCCUAAAGACUGCAGCCAUUUUUCCUUCAAAUAUUUAUCUUUGGGGAUAUUAAAAACUGAGAGUUUCUCUGAUUUGUUACAAUGAAAAUAACAAAUUUUAUUUGGCAUUUUCAGAAUACAACAAACUACUAUGAAAGAAAUAACAAACAAAAAUCGAAUAUCUAUAGAAUAGGUUUAUAGUUGCCACAAUGCCACUAGAGACUAGAGUACUAGACAACGUUUAAACGUUAGUCGUUUUUCAUGUUUGGAUCAGCCCAUGGCUUAAAGUAUUUAAGCCAUGGAUCAACUUGAAUUACGAUUAUCGAUUAUUAAUAUAAAUCGAUACAACGCAAACAAAACAAUACUAUUAUUAAUUAAUAGUAUUAGAUAUAAUAAAGUAUAAACCAAUCUCAAUA